rfam:Triticum urartu cultivar G1812 contig964523, whole genome shotgun sequence.
AUUGUACUCCCUUUCUCCCAAAAUUCUUGUCUUAGAUUUGUCUAAAUACGGAUGUAUCUAGUUACGUUUUAGUGUUAGAUACAUCCGUAUCUAGACGAAUCUAAGACAAGAAUUUUGGGAUGGAGGGAGUACUAA